UGUUCGGAAUCAUUGGGCGUAAAGCGGGUGUAGGUGGCUCUGUAAGUCAGGAGUGAAAGCCCCGAGCUUAACUCGGGAAGUGCUUUUGAUACUGCAGAGCUUGAAUGUGGGAGAGGAUCGUGGAAUUCCAGGUGUAGUGGUGAAAUACGUAGAUAUCUGGAGGAACACCGGUGGCGAAGGCGGCGAUCUGGCCCAACAUUGACACUGAGACCCGAAAGCGUGGGGAGCAAACAGG
rnacentral:rRNA from 1 species